AAACUCAUGUAAGAUAAAAGUCAACCCAUGCAACAGGUUAUAUAAAUUGCUUUAAAUCAGCUGCUUUUUGUGAACACUGAAUAACUUGCUUCUAUUUCUUGCCUUUCUUUUAGCACUUAAAAAUGAAUUUAAGGUGUGUGAAAAGUGUGUGACUGACAGCUCUGGAAAUUGAACUCCCAUGUUUAAUCCCAGACGAGGUCCUGAAGCUGUGAGCAGACAUGGAGGAUGUGAUACUAUCCUUCAAAGUGGACAUGGACUAGAUGAUCAGAAGCUGUAUCU
rnacentral:lncRNA from 1 species